UCGCGUGCUCUGGGGUCGGUGAAAAUCCGAGCCGGCGGUGACUGGAUGAGCUUCUUGUCCAGAAGUCCGCGACCCGGUCACUGCCAGUGACCGGUUGACCAGGUGAAAUUCCUGGACCGACGGUCAAAGUCCGGAUGGGAAGUGCACGCAG
rnacentral:ncRNA from 2 species